rnacentral:rRNA from 1 species
UACGUAGGCAGCGAGCGUUGUUCGGAGUUACUGGGCGUAAAGGGUGCGUAGGCGGUCGUUUAAGUUUGGUGUGAAAUCUCCCGGCUCAACUGGGAGGGUGCGCCGAAUACUGAAUGACUAGAGUGCGGGAGAGGAUAGUGGAAUUCCUGGUGUAGCGGUGAAAUGCGUAGAUAUCAGGAGGAACACCGGUGGUGUAGACGGCUAUCUGGACCGUAACUGACGCUGAGGCACGAAAGCGUGGGUAGCAAACAGG